GCUCAACCGGGGAGGGUCAUUGGAAACUGGGAAACUUGAGUGCAGAAGAGGAGAGUGGAAUUCCACGUGUAGCGGUGAAAUGCGUAGAGAUGUGGAGGAACACCAGUGGCGAAGGCGACUCUCUGGUCUGUAACUGACGCUGAGGAGCGAAAGCGUGGGGAGCGAACAGGAUUAGAUACCCUGGUAGUCCACGCCGUAAACGAUGAGUGCUAAGUGUUAGGGGGUUUCCGCCCCUUAGUGCUGCAGCUAACGCAUUAAGCACUCCGCCUGGGGAGUACGGUCGCAAGACUGAAACUCAAAGGAAUUGACGGGGGCCCGCACAAGCGGUGGAGCAUGUGGUUUAAUUCGAAGCAACGCGAAGAACCUUACCAGGUCUUGACAUCCUCUGACAACCCUAGAGAUAGGGCUUUCCCUUCGGGGACAGAGUGACAGGUGGUGCAUGGUUGUCGUCAGCUCGUGUCGUGAGAUGUUGGGUCAAGUCCCGCAACGAGCGCAACCCUUGAUCUUAGUUGCCAGCAUUUAGUUGGGCACUCUAAGGUGACUGCCGGUGACAAACCGGAGGAAGGUGGGGAUGACGUCAAAUCAUCAUGCCCCUUAUGACCUGGGCUACACACGUGCUACAAUGGACAGAACAAAG
rnacentral:rRNA from 1 species